GAUGAACGCUGGCGGCGUGCCUAACACAUGCAAGUCGAGCGAGAAACUACUGUGCGAAGAUUUCGAUUGGAGCUUUGUAGUGGAAAGCGGCGGACGGGUGAGUAACGCGUGGGCAACCUGCCUCGAGCUCAGGGAUAGCCACGGGAAACCGUGAUUAAUACCUGAUAAUGCGAAGAAGUCUCAUGGCUUUUUCGCCAAAGAUUUAUCGGCUUGAGAUGGGCCCGCGUCUGAUUAGGUAGUUGGUGAGGUAACGGCUCACCAAGCCUACGAUCAGUAACCGACCUGAGAGGGUAAUCGGUCACAUUGGAACUGAGACACGGUCCAAACUCCUACGGGAGGCAGCAGUGGGGAAUAUUGCACAAUGGGCGCAAGCCUGAUGCAGCAACGCCGCGUGAGCGAAGAAGGUCCUAUGGAUUGUAAAGCUCUGAUCUGAGGGAAGAUAAUGACGGUACCUCAGGAGAAAGCCCCGGCUAACUACGUGCCAGCCGCCGCGGUAAUAC
rnacentral:rRNA from 1 species